rnacentral:lncRNA from 1 species
UCAACUUUGCUCCUUUUCGAGGCUAGAAUUCCAGCUGGCGGCAUUCUCCCUCUUCAUGUAAACCUUGCAAAAUAAGAGAGAAAAGGCAUAAGUAUUGUACCGUGAAGUGAAAUAACAGCCCAAGAAGCAAUAAAUAUCAACAUGAAAACAUGAUGCAAAAUGGACGUAUCAUUAUCCAAGACAAGAUACUACCACGCAUUGGGAUACUUAAUUGACCCUCUCGGCUUAUUAAUCGCCUAUAUCUCUGACCAAGAGUUGCAACUAGUUUCUGGUUUUUGUACGAAAAGUGUUGGCGGCUGUGUUGAACUCUUCCUGACGGGGUGGGCUUCAGUGUGGUAGACACACAAUGGCACGGUGUACCAAGUGGCAACCGAACGGUGGGCUUGUGGAACCCUGCACAUAAUGUUUGAGGCCGUAGAGGAAACUUUGGCCGAACUUCCUUGCGGGUUCAGACUCAAAUAGGCGAUAAACCUGGACUAGGGUCAUGUGUGGUUAACGGUCAUGGCCGACGCCCGUGCCAAUGCUUCCGCUUAAAGGUUGCCGAGAUGCAUGAUGUGGAUAUGGUGAAAAGUGGUGAGAGCGUGUGUGAAGAAGUAUACCCGUGCAGGGUGAAUUAAUCUGUUCGAAUAGUCGCGUCCUUGGAUAUGGACUACUUGGAAACAUUAUGUGGUACAUAGACUACUUGAAAUGGAUACCCUAAAAUGUGCAAGAUAAGUAUGAGUGUUAUGGAUGGCCUUCUCGUAGGGAGACAGGAGAGGAUCCAUAGUGGUGUAUUGAUGUGGUGAAUAUGUGGACUCAUGUG